AUUUAGUGGGGAAUAACUGUUGGAAACGACAGCUAAUACCGCAUAAUAUUGCUGGAUAAUUUCCAGUAAUGAAAGGAGCUUUCAAGCUCCGCUGAUUGAUGAGGAUGCGGCGCAUUAGCUAGUUGGUAGGGUAAUGGCCUACCAAGGCAAUGAUGCGUAGCCGAUCUGAGAGGAUGAACGGCCACAUUGGGACUGAGACACGGCCCAAACUUCUACGGAAGGCAGCAGUAGGGAAUUUUUCACAAUGGGCGAAAGCCUGAUGGAGCAAUGCCGCGUGACUGAUGAAGGUCUUCGGAUUGUAAAGGUCUGUUGUAAGGGAAGAAAUGGUAAAACAGGAAAUGGUUUUAUCUAUGACGGUACCUUACCAGAAAGCCACGGCUAACUAUGUGCCAGCAGCCGCGGUAAUACAUAGGUGGCAAGCGUUAUCCGGAUUUAUUGGGCGUAAAGGGUGCGUAGACGGUUUUGCAAGUCUGANGUUAAAUUUAGGAGCUCAACUCCUAAUCGCCUUGGAAACUACNAGACUAGAGUAUAGGAGAGGUUAGUGNAAUUCCAUGUGUAGCGGUGGANUGUGUAGAUAU
rnacentral:rRNA from 1 species